GAUGAACGCUGGCGGCGUGCCUAAUACAUGCAAGUCGAGCGAACAGACCAGGAUCUUGCUCCUCUGACGUUAGCCGCGCACGUGUGAGUCACACGUGUAUAACCUACCUAUAAGACUGGUAUAACUUCGGGACUCCGGAUCUUAUACCGGAUAAUAUAUUGAUCCACAUUGUUCAAUAGUGAGAUACGGUUUUGCUGUCUCUUCUAGAUGCUUCCCGGCCGCAUUAGCUAGUUGGUAAGGUAACGGCCUUUCACGGCAACCAUGCGUAGCCGACCUGCCAGGGUGGUCGGCCACCCUAGAACGGAGACACGCUCCAGACGACUAAGGGAGGCCGCAGUAGCGAAUCUUACGCAAUGGGCGAAAGCUUGACGGAGUAACGCCGAGUGAGAGAUGAAGAUCUUCGGAUCGUAAAACCGUGUUAUUAGGGAAGAACAAAUGUGGAAGUAAAUGUGCACGUCUUGACGGUACCUAAUCAGAAAGCCACGGCUAACUACGUG
rnacentral:rRNA from 1 species